GCCGAGGUGGCGAAAUGGAAGACGCAUGGGACUUAAACUCCCAGGAGCAUUAAUGCUCGUGCCGGUUCGACUCCGGUCCUCGGCACCA
rnacentral:tRNA from 1 species